UACGGAGGGAGCUAGCGUUGUUCGGAUAUACUGGGCGUAAAGCGCACGUAGGCGGCGCCGUAAGUCAGGGGUGAAAUCCCGGAGCUCAACUCCGGAACUGCCCUUGAAACUGCAGUGCUAGAAUUCUGGAGAGGCGAGUGGAAUUCCGAGUGUAGAGGUGAAAUUCGUAGAUAUUCGGAAGAACACCAGUGGCGAAGGCGACUCUCUGGACUGUAACUGACGCUGAGGCUCGAAAGCGUGGGGAGCAAACAGG
rnacentral:rRNA from 1 species